AUGCCCAAGAAUAAGGUCAGCUCCGCCGAGGGGGCGUCGAAGGAGGAGCCCAAGAGGAGGUCGGCGAGGUUGUCAGCUAAACCUGCUCCUGCAAAAGUGGAAACGAAGCCAAAAAAGGCGGCAGGAAAGGAUAAAUCUUAAGACAAAAAAGUGCAAACAAAGGGGAAAAGGGGAGCAAAGGGAAAACAGGCUGAAGUGGCUAACCAAGAAACGAAAGAAGACUUACCUGCAGAAAAUGGAGAAACUAAAAAUGAGGAGAGUCCAGCCUCCGAUGAAGCAGGAGAGAAAGAAGCCAAGUCUGAUUAAUACCAUAAACCAUGUCUUAUCAGUGGUCCCUGUCGCCCUUCUUGUACAAUCCAGAGGAAUAUUUUUAUCAACUAUUUUGUAAAUGCAAGUUUUUUAGUAGCUCUAGAAACAUUUUUAAGAAGGAGGGAAUCCCACCUCAUCCCAUUUUUUAAGUGUAAAUGCUUUUUUUUAAGAGGUGAAAUCAUUUGCUGGUUGUUUAUUUUUUGGUACAACCAGGAAAUAGUGGGAUAUUGAAUGUGGGAGGCUUUGAUUGUCUUGGGUGUCAGCUCAACAUUCCAUAGCUGGGGUAGUUUUUAUAUCCUAUAAUACCAAGCAUACUAAAUGGCAAUUUGGAGUCGGUCGUGCAUUUACUAUGUCUUGAAUAUUUUAAAUUACUUCUAUUCCCAUGUUGUUUUGGUAGAAUUGUUUCCUAAAGAAAACCACUCCUAGAUCUUGGCUCUCCCGGUCAGAAUUCUUGUGCACUCUGUAACAUCUUGGUCGUGGUAGUCCAGUUUUCCUAGUAACUCUGUUAAUGUGCUGUGCAAGAUUGAGAAUUUGAGUAUGUAGUGUAUAUGAUAUUAAAUUG